GGGGCCUGAUGCUAAGGGCGCCGCCGCGAGCCUGAGGAGCACACCGGCAGAGACCCGGCCUGAGGAACCUGCAUUCAUGUGGAGGAGAAAAAAGAAAUCGAUAAUAGCAGGUGAUGAUAAGAGAUAUGAAGACAACUGAACAUGAGAAUGUUUUGGAUGCGGUCUGCACUAGUCCAAAAAGGCCUCCCUCUGUAGGUAGCAUGGACACAAAAGAGAAAGAGAAGGCCCACCAAGGAGAACAACAGAUGCAAAAGCCCGAAAGGAAGAAGAGGCUUAAUCUGCCGGCAGAGUGAAUCCAACGCCAGCAUGGAUAAAAUGCCAGGAAGGAAGGAGAGAUCCAAACAAGGUCACAUCCUACAGGACAGAACAAUGGUAACAACUGCCAGUGUAGACGCUGAGAGGCAGGGCUUCUUACCCAUUAACCUGCUCUAAGUCCUAAGGUAGUGCCUUUUUUUUGUCCCGAUUGCACUAAUGAGAAAACGGAAGUUUCUGCAAAGAGAAGCAAGUCAUCCAAGCUAUGCAGUAAGGACGCCAAUCAAAAGUGGCCUGUCACCCCGACUGCUCGUUCUGCACUGCCACGUGUUCCUCUGCACCCUGGCUCUCCUAUCAUUUGUGUAUUCCUUUUGGUUUCCCAGGUCAGAGCUCCACAAGGACAGGGAUUUUGUUCCAUUUUCUGCUGUGUCUGUGCACAUAACUCAGAGUCCGGUACCCAAACGAGCAGCAGAUGUAGUCAGAGCACCUGCCAGGACCAGAGGAAACAGAUGGCUAGUUCUUGAAGUCUCAGAGCAGGCUCCACCUGAAGUACGUGAGCUCAGGCAGAAUUCCUCAGAACCCUCAGUGAGAGGGAACCAGUCACGGUGACACGUUAGGCUGACUUCCACACCUGAACACCAGUACACGUACACACAAAUAAGUAAGUAAAUGUUAUAAAAUUAAACUGGAACACACUGAGUGGGUCUGCAAGGGGUGAGAAGGGUUGUUUCUGGAUGAAGCAUCUGGUCCUGGUAAAGGCCCUAGCUCUGGCUCAACAGGAUCCUAAAGACAUCUAGUCCAGACUCUUCCUUUUUUUUCCUCUUUCAUCCUGAGGAGUUGCUACGCCUCUGACCUCUGUUUGUAAAGCGGCACCUUCCCCGUUCCUCCAUGCUGAUGUUCCGCCAUGAGAAUUCAUGACAGGGACUCUGUAAAGUGUUCAGCCUGUAAUAGAUACUUAAGCAAUUUGAACCAUUCCUAUCCUUUUUUUAAAAAAAUGAUUUGUUUAAAUUUAUUUUAUGUACAUUGGCGUGAGGGUGUCAGAUCCCCUGGAACUGGAGUUAUAGACAGUUGUGAGCUGCCAUGUGGGUGCUGGGAAUUGAACCCAGGUCCUCUGGAAGAGCAGCCAGUGCUCUUAACUGCUGAACCAUCUCUCCAGCCCCUGCUAGUCUUAAUAUAGAGAAUGCAAGAGCAACAUGGGCUACAUGAGACCCCAUAUCAAAGAAAAAAAUCACAAGUAGCAAUGUGCCCUGUUCUUCCCUCAAACUCCUGGGAAGAUUCCAUAUGCCUCCCCUGAGGAGGCCAUUGCACAAUACAUAAACAUUGAGGAGUGAGAUAGCAUCUCUGGGCGGGACUACUCAAUUCCAACUUCUGAAGGCAGAGAAAACCAAUGCCUCUAAGGACACACCAGGUCCAGCCAUUGAGUGUUUCCUCCAGCCUAUGUAAACUGAAUUUAGUUGGCUGGGAAGUUCCCUGUGGUCAGUCACCCCUUUCAACAGAAACGAAACUCAAAAGUGAAAAGGAAGGUUAGCACUUGGGCCAGCAGCUUUGAGAACUGGUAAAUCCUCAGGGUGGCACCAGCCUAUAAUCCCAGCACUUCAGAAAUGGAGGCCAGUCCUGGGGCUAUCAACCUCAACACAGCCUAGUCUAUCCUAACUGAUCAGGAUUAUGCUACACUUCUUCAUUCCCGUUUUAAAAGAUUUGUUUAAUUCUAAUUAUGUGUAUGUGGAGGGGGAUGGUAUGUGCUCAGGAGUGCAGGUGCCUGCUGAGGCCAGAAGAGGAAAUCAGAUCCUUCUGAAGCUGGAGUUACAGGCAGUCCAGAGGCAAGGGGGUUAGCCCAAGUCCAAGGCCAGCCAGGGCCACACAACAAAGCAGUUUCCAAAAUGAGCAACCAGGUUAGGAAGGGCAGUCCUGUGCUCGCCUUCCCAGAACCCACAUCAAAGCUGGAUGCAUAGCCCAAGUGUCUGUCUGUAAUGCCAGUGCUCCUGUGGGAAGAUGGGAGGCAAAGACAGAAGAAUCCUUAGAAUCACAAGCCAGCUAGCUCACACACACAAAGAGGGAUGAACGAAUACAUGCACACAUACAUGCAUGGACACACACAUACCCACACACAUACAUACAGGAAUGAAUACACACAUAAUGCACAUAACCACACACAUACAUAUAUACACACACGCCAUUCGAGCACACACAAAUACAAAAAAAAAAUCAAUAACAAAACCCUCUUAUUUGUUUAGGGUGUAGGGGGAGCACUGCUGAAAUGGUCUCAUGUAGCCCCAGCUGGCCUGAAACUCUCUCUGUAGUAGUGGGUGACCUUGAACUUCUGGUCCUUGGGCCAGAGACACAGCACAGCUGGUAAGGACAUUCAGGUCCUGCAUGGUGGAUGAAUAGAACUGAUUCCUAAGCCGGGCUGUGGUGGCACACACCUUUAAUCCCAGCACUUGGGAGUUCGAGGCCAGCCUGGGCUACAGAGUGAGUUCCAGGAAAGGUUCCAGAGCUACACAGAGAAACUCUGUCUCAAAAAAAAAGAAAAGAAAGGGAAAAGGAUUCCUGCAAGUUGUCCUCAGAUCUGCACUGUUUUAUCAUGGCACAUGUGCGCACACACACAAUAAAAAUAAAUGUAACUUUUCAAAUA